GCAUAACCUAAAUUAUCAUGUUUUAUUUGUCACGUAAAUAACGACACAGGCAUAGCCUAUAUUAUCAUGUUUUAUUUAAGAUUCAUGCAAGCCAUUUUCACAUUGACUGAAUCGUUAUAUGUUGUCCCAAGUGUAAGCAACGACCCAGGCCGUGUGAAAAUAAACACAAUCAUUUUUGUCAUUCACUUAUCGUCACGUAAAUAACGACACAGGCAUAGCCUAUAUUAUCAUGUUUUAUUUAAGAUUUAACGACACAGGCCCUAUGAAAAUGAAUAAAAAAAAUCUACAGAAUGCAUGAAUUAUUUUGAUUUUUAGGUAAACUUUAUUUUAUUAGUGGAAUCUAUUUCGAGUGACUGUAUCUGUAUUGUCUAUCUUCUGCCAAUCUAGGCACACCUCCACAAUAGGAGUAAAAAGUCAACUAUAUAUAAAAAAGCAAAAACGAUCACACUAUUGAAUUAUAUACAGUUUUAUCACAAUAGCCUAUAUUAUCAUGUUUUAUUAAAGAUUUAACGACACAUUUUUACACAAUGAAGUUCAUGACAAAACUUAAGUGAAGAAAAAUUCAAAACGUUAUAUUGAUACCAG
rnacentral:lncRNA from 1 species